rnacentral:rRNA from 1 species
CCAGCCGUAAACGAUGGGCACUAGGUGUAGGAGGUAUCGACCCCUUCUGUGCCGUAGCAAACGCAUUAAGUGCCCCGCCUGGGGAGUACGGUCGCAAGACUAAAACUCAAAGGAAUUGACGGGGGCCCGCACAAGCGGUGGAGCAUGUGGUUUAAUUCGACGCAACGCGAAGAACCUUACCAGGACUUGACAUCCCUCGCAAUCUAUGGAAACAUAGAGUUCCCUUCGGGGACGAGGAGACAGGUGG